rnacentral:lncRNA from 1 species
GUAAACAAAAAGACCCUAGGUGCGGGCACGUAGGGAUGAACAGUGAUAGCUUUAUCCUUUAUAAAGCCUCUCGGUCCUCCCAGUUACAGGUCAUCCUGCGCACUUCCCUUCCGCCGCCUCAUCCAUCUGAUCUCAACGAGGUCAGCUCUCGGUCCUCCCAGUUACAGGUCAUCCUGCGCACUUCCCUUCCGCCGCCUCAUCCAUCUGAUCCCAACGAGGUCAGCUCUUGGUCCUCCCAGUUACAGGUCAUCCUGCGCACUUCCCU